GAUGCUCCACUAUUCUAUCAUGCAGUCGAGCGAAUGGAUUGAGAAGCUUGCUGGUAUGAAGUUAGCGGCGGACGGGUGAGUAACAGGUGGGUAACCUUGCCGAUAAGACUGGGGUAACUCCGGGAGACCGGGGCUAAUACCGGAUAACAUUUUGAACUGCAUGGUACGAAAUUGAAAGGCGGCUUGGGCGGUAACUUAUGGAUGGACCUGCGUCGGAUUAGCUAGUUGGUGAGGUAACGGCUCACUAAGGCAACGAUGCGUAGCGGACCUGAGAGGGUGAUCGGCGAGAAUGGGACUGAGAAACGGGCCUGAUUAUUACAGGAGGCCCCCACAUGGAACCUUCUUGUAUGGAGGAAACUCUGACGAAGGCACGCCUUGUGAGUGAUGAAGGCUAUCGGGUCGUGCAACUCUGUUGGUACGGAAGAACAAGUGCUAGUAGAAUAAGCUGGCACCUCGACGGUACCUCACCAGAACGGCACCGCUAAGUACGUGCCAGCAGCCAGCGGUAUUACGUAGUUGCCAGGCGUUAUCAGGAUUUAUGGGGCGUAUCGCGGCGAGCAGGUUGUCUCUAAGGUCUGAUGGGGACAGGCCAAGGCUCAACGGUGGGAGCGUCAUUGGAAAACUGGGAGACCUGGAGUGCAGAAGAAGGAAAGUGGAAUUCCAUGUGUAGCGGUGAAAUGCGUAAAGAUAUGGAGGAACACCAGUGGCGAGGGUGACUUUCUGGUCUGUAACUGACACUGCCGCGCGUAAGGCGUGGCGGAGCAAACAAGAUUACAUACCCUGGUAGUCCACGCCGGUAAACGAUGUAGUUGCUACUUGUUACACGUGUUUCCCCCCCUUUAUGGCUGACUUUACUGCAUUCGAUCACUCCCGCCGGGGGAAGUACCUGGCAGCAAGGCUGUAACUCAAAGGCUAAAUAGACGGGGGACCCGCUACAAGCCGGUGGAGCCAGAUGGUUCUGAUUCCACUCACAUCGAAGAACCUCACAAAGUCUUGACAUCCUCUGAAAACCGUAGACUUCGGCCUUCUGCUUCGGUGGCAGGGUGACAGUGGGUGCAUGCUUGUCGUCAAGCUUUUGUCAUCGAGCAGUUGUGUUUAACCCAUCAAAGUACUGCAAGCCUUUAUUUUCGUGAUACCAACCGCAGGGCAGACGUACCAACGGGACUGCCGCUGACAAACCGGAGGAAGGUGGGGAUGACGUCAAAUCAUCAUGCCCCUUAUGACCUGGGCUACACACGUGCUACAAUGGACGGUACAAAGAGCUGCAAGACCGCGAGGUGGAGCUAAUCUCAUAAAACCGUUCUCAGUUCGGAUUGUAGGCUGCAACUCGCCUACAUGAAGCUGGAAUCGCUAGUAAUCGCGGAUCAGCAUGCCGCGGUGAAUACGUUCCCGGGCCUUGUACACACCGCCCGUCACACCACGAGAGUUUGUAACACCCGAAGUCGGUGGGGUAACCUUUUUGGAGCCAGCCGCCUAAGGUGGCACAGAUGAUUGGGGCAAGUCGAACAGUGAGACUAGCC
rnacentral:rRNA from 1 species